UACUCGCUUGGUGAAAUUAGGUAAACACGACGGACUUAAAAUCCGUUCCACUAUUGGUUAUCGGUUCAAAUCCGAUAGCGAGUAA
rnacentral:tRNA from 1 species